rnacentral:miRNA from 1 species
GGAGGAUGAAGAGAAAGAGGAUGACGAGAAAGAGGAUGACGAGCGCGAUGCAGCGUCCCUGUCCUCAUUCUCCUCAUCCUCCUCAUCAUCA